rnacentral:misc_RNA from 1 species
GAUGAAGAACGCAGUGAAAUGCGAUAAGUAAUGUGAAUUGCAGAAUUCAGUGAAUCAUCGAAUCUUUGAACGCACAUUGCGCCCGCCAGUAUUCUGGCGGGCAUGCCUGUUCGAGCGUCAUUACAACCCUCAGGCCCCCGGGCCUGGCGUUGGGGAUCGGCGGAAGCCCCCUGUGGGCACACGCCGUCCCUCAAAUACAGUGGCGGUCCCGCCGCAGCUUCCAUUGCGUAGUAGCUAACACCUCGCAACUGGAGAGCGGCGCGGCCAUGCCGUAAAACACCCAACUUCUGAAUGUUGACCUCGAAUCAGGUAGGAAUACCCGCUGAACUUAAGCAUAUCAAUAACGGAGGA